GCGCCUAUAGCUCAACCGGACAGAGCAUCGGAUUUCUAAUCCGAGGGUUGCAGGUUCAAGUCCUGCUAGGCGUA
rnacentral:tRNA from 1 species